rnacentral:rRNA from 1 species
CCUACGGGGGGCAGCAGUGAGGAAUAUUGGUCAAUGGGCGCAAGCCUGAACCAGCCAAGUCGCGUGAGGGAUGACUGUCCUAUGGAUUGUAAACCUCUUUUGUCGGGGAGCAAGGCCCGCCACGUGUGGCGGGAAGGAGAGUACCCGAAGAAAAAGCAUCGGCUAACUCCGUGCCAGCAGCCGCGGUAAUACGGAGGAUGCGAGCGUUAUCCGGAUUUAUUGGGUUUAAAGGGUGCGUAGGCGGGCUUUUAAGUCAGCGGUAAAAAUUCGGGGCUCAACCCCGUCCGGCCGUUGAAACUGGGGGCCUUGAGUGGGCGAGAAGAAGGCGGAAUGCGUGGUGUAGCGGUGAAAUGCAUAGAUAUCACGCAGAACCCCGAUUGCGAAGGCAGCCUUCCGGCGCCCUACUGACGCUGAGGCACGAAAGUGCGGGGAUCGAACAGGAUUAGAUACCCUGGUAGUC